GGUACAGGUCUGUGAAUCACCAUACUAUAAACAUUUUAAUACAUACUCUAUUUUUCAGCUUAAUGUUUACUUAAUGUUUCUCAGCUUAAUGUUUACCUCCAGACUAUCCAUUCUAGGGGAGGGAGGCAGAAAUUUUGUCACAAUAAUUCCUGCAUCCCUGAAACUUGGGGCACUAAAUGUUUGUUCAGUGAUUAACUAGUUAAAUAGAUUUUUAUAGUCUGCUUUAUGAUAGGGACAUGCCUGGCAUAUGCCAAUAGAGGGAAUGUUGGAUGGAUGUGAGCUAUUUAUAGUCAUUCAGACUCUUGGGUUCCUCUCCAUUUAAGGACCUUAAAUUUUAAUUCUGGAACUUCAAAGUAAAUAUAACGUUGGGAGGUGAGCUGGGAAAACAUUCCCAACCCUAGUAUUAUCGUACUCUAUAACAUCUUUCCAACGAUCUCAGAAGAUGUCUUGCAAUUUUCAAAAGAUUAUCAAAAUGGUUUACUUUGGGAAAAAACCCCAACCCUUUUAGAAAAGAGAAGAAAUUACAUAAAGAAUCUGGUGAUAUUCAAUAUAGAGGAAGGCAGCUCCUUAUAACUGACUAGAAGAACCUCUGAACUUCAUUUGGACAGAGAAGUGAUCACAUUGAACAUCAUUCCAAAUACAACACAAGGAGGCUGUAAAGGGUGAUGUUGAAAAUAUCAGCAACAUAGAUUUCUGCUUCCAGAUAAGAUGGAGUAUCAAGGACCAGAGGUAAACUCCUUUCAGAAACAACUAAAGAACUGCUCAAAAUAUAUGAACCCUGGACCUCAUGCACUGAAGGACAAGGAUCCCUGGGGGAUGCGAAAUAAUUUCCUCAACUUAGGAAACAACUAUUUAAAUCCAAAUGAAUUGGAAUAAAGGUUGAAAAACAGAGCAGGAAUCAAUACAACAGAGAACAGAAAAACAACAGUGAAAGAAAAAACUUAAUGAAGUUAAAAGCUGUUUCUUUAUGGAGAUCCAUCAAAUGGAUAAACCUUCAGCAGAAUGAUCAGGAAAAAAGUAAAGACACAAAUAGAAAGAAUGAGAAGUGAUGCCACACUACAGAUUCUCUAGAUAACCAAAUAUUAAAGGAAUAUUAUAAACAUUUUAUUUCAAUAAAGUUGGCCAACUUAGAAUGGACAGAUUCCUAGAAAGACACAAAUGACCAAAGUCCACUCAAGAAUAUGCUGAAUAACCCUAUAUCUACUAAAUAAAUUGAGUUUUUUGUUAAAAACAAAAAAGAAAGAAACAAAAAAACUUCCACAAAGAAAACUAGGCCCAGAUAACUACUCUGAUGAAUUACAGCAAAUAUUUAAGGAAGAAAAAAAUACUACACAAUUUUACAUUAAGCUUCCAGAAAAUAGAAGGGGAAGGAAUACUUUUCAAAUCAUUGUAAGACAAACAUUACAAGGGAAAGAAAAGAAAAUUAUAGACUAGUAUCCGCUAAGAAUAGAAAUACAAAAAUGCUUAUGGAAAUUUUGACAAAUCAAUUCCUCUAAAUACAUAAAGGGUAAUAUAUCAUGAUUCAAGUGGAGUUUAUUAGUAAUCCAAAGUUGGUUUAAUAGCUGAAAAAUUAUCAAUGCAAUCUGUCAUAUAAGCAAACUGAAAAGAAAAAUCAUUCGACAAGGUCCAACAUUCAUUGCUAUCAGCAAACUGAAUAGGAAUAGAGGAAACUCCUCAACAUGGUAAAGGGCAUCUAAAAAAACCCUACUGUUAACAUCACGCUUAAUGAUGAAAGACUGAAUGCUUUCUCCCUAAGUGCAGAAACAAGGCAAGGACAUCUGUCAGCUCUCACCGCUUUGAUUCAGCAUUGUACUAGAGGUUCUAGUUGUUACAGUAGGGGAAAAAAGGAAGCAGUAAAAAUGUCUUAAUAUGUAGGUAAUAUGAUUACAUAGAAAAUCUACAAAAAAGCUAUGAUAACUAAUAAAUGAAUUCAGUAGAGU